rnacentral:tRNA from 1 species
GCGGGGGUGCCCGAGCUGGUCAAACAAUGAUGCCUUACAUUCAUUAAAGAGGGGACAUCUUGGGCUAAAGGGGCACGGUUGAGGGCCGUGUGGUGUAGGCCUACGCGAGUUCAAACCUCGUCCCCCGCA